AGCCCUUCUUCUAACUCAGGGUAAAAUUUUUUACUUAAAGUUGGGGCAUAGCUGCAAAAAGCAGCCUCCCUGGUAGUGUAGGUAGCCUGUUGCCUGUACAGGUUGCCCUAAGAGACCUUGGAGACGACC
ensembl:snoRNA SNORA70 Small nucleolar RNA SNORA70